UACUAAAACCCAACUCGCUAGAAGACAAACAAAAUGAACAGUGACUUGACGGUUAUGCCCUGCAUUUUUCUGGUCUUUUGCUUGAUUGCCCCCUACAGGUGUUGGCUGCAAGUGAGGCCGUGUUGGUAUGGCUUGCUCUGCGUGUUUGCUCUGGAGAAGGACACAUCUUCAUUCUUUUGGUAUGAGUUGUUCGCUCGACACAGAGAGAGAAAAAGAGAGGGUGAAUAGAACUGGGGAAUAAGGGAGAGAACGCAGAGAAGCAGAAGAGGGGGACGAGAGGCUCUCAGGGUUUUGUUUUGAUUGCUCAAGAGUUUUGGUUUUUUUUUUUUUUUUUUUUUUCUUUUUUCGGAAUCAAAACCCGAUCUGUUUGUAGGUAUUGGUAUUCUUUUUUUCCCUGUAAUUUAUGGGUUUGCUGUGUUUGCAUGGUUUUUGGGAUCAUCUGAAUGAUGAAUUUGAUUGUAUGAGCUUAAUGUCUGAUUGUAUGGUGCACAAACCUCAAACUGCAGAAUGCCUAUUUGAAAUUGUAGAAUGGUUGAAUCAUUUGUUAAUUGAUGUUUUAGUUCCCAUGCUUUUUUAGUUUCAUAUUCUGGCUGUGGAUGAUAGUAUCAUACAUAGGAAGGUCAUUGAAAAGCUAUAUAAUAUUUCUUUCUCUAAAGGUAGCUACAUGUCCGUGAAUGAUGAGUCACUGAAAGAAACAUUGGAUUUUGUUUUGCAGUGACUGCUUUUGAUAGUCAAACAGGGGCUUUAAGAUAAGUACGGGUGAGUGUUUUCGCUUUUAGUUAUGUUUCUGUUGCACCUAUUUUUUAUAUGUUGAGGAAAUUGCAGCUGUUGUGUAGUCUCUUGAAAUUGAGGUUCUUCUGAUUCUUUGUGUGGUUGUAGUCUCUGUUGUUGAUAGUUCUCUAAGUUUAGUUGUCUUGAAAACUCUUACUUCACAACAUAUUUACCAUCAAUAGCCGCAUCAAAGUAACAAUAUUUAAAAUAAUCCACUUCAUUGUUCCAUACUGUGCAUUUGAGAAAACAAUAUCUCAUAUUGAGAUUGCUCUUUCUCCCGUUGUGCAAUAUUGUGCUAUUUGUGGUUGAUUGUGGAAAUUAUUUUGCUAUUGUGGGAGUUUGUAAUUUUUAAUUGUACCAAACAUUCAGUUUCGAAAUGCAGUAGAAAAAUUUGAUCACGACUAAUAGAGUAAAUCAAAAAUAGCAAUUCUUCUAGCGAUCUAGGUAAUACAUUAUCCUAGCAAAUUAGGACUAAUAGAGUUUGUGGCUGAUUGUGAUAGUGACAGGUUCUCUUACAAGAGUUUUUACAGAGUCUUGAGCAGGACCAGUACUUUUUCUUUUGUUACAAUAGAGGGUGUAUGCCUCUUUGUGAUUUUAAUUCUGCAAUUAUAUGAUACAUGAAAAUAUGAUACUUGAAUUCUGCAAGGACAAAACAUGCUACUGUAAAAGAAAUGGUUAGUACUACUGAAAAUAAAGGAGUCUAGGUAGUAAUGAUUCAAAGAAAAUUCAAAACUGAGAACUUAAUACUAUUAACAAUGAAGUCAAAAUCCAUAUUGAAGACAUAACUUUGCAACUAACUGCCAAAAUAUUCCUAUGUACCCUUAACAAUAUGUUUCCAGUUCUAUGUUUCUCUUAGGGAAAGUCGGUGACAUAUAUGAAGCAAACUCAUUUUUAUCAAUGCCUUGCUUAAUUAGGAAUAGACAGGCAGGCAAUUAUUGUCGCUGCUUCAAAGUUUGGAAGAGCUGGUUCUGAAAAUGCAUCAUCAAUUUCAGCAAGCCUCAAUGUUCUUGCUGCACUCCUGUAGGUCGCACCAUAUAAGGGAAGGAAGAGCGAGUCAAAUUGUGGUCUUAAAACAUCUACAUAAUUACUUAAGUACUCAAUCGUAUCUGGAAUCUUGAAGAACAACAUGUAUCUAAUAUAUUAUUGGUAAAAGCACUGAAAAGAUAGAGGGUGAGAGAGGAACA